rnacentral:rRNA from 1 species
UACGUAGGUGGCAAGCGUUGUUCGGAAUUACUGGGCGUAAAGGGCGCGUAGGCGGCCUGUUAAGUCGAACGUGAAAUCCCCGGGCUCAACCCGGGAACUGCGUCCGAUACUGGCAGGCUUGAAUCCGGGAGAGGGAUGCGGAAUUCCAGGUGUAGCGGUGAAAUGCGUAGAUAUCUGGAGGAAUACCGGUGGCGAAGGCGGCAUCCUGGACCGACAUUGACGCUGAACGGCGAAAGCUAGGGGAGCAAACGGG